UGGGGAAUAUUGCACAAUGGGCGAAAGCCUGAUGCAGCGACGCCGCGUGCGGGAUGAAGGCCUUCGGGUUGUAAACCGCUUUUAAUUGGGAGCAAGCGAGAGUGAGUGUACCUUUUGAAUAAGCACCGGCUAACUACGUGCCAGCAGCCGCGGUAAUACGUAGGGUGCAAGCGUUAUCCGGAAUUAUUGGGCGUAAAGAGCUCGUAGGCGGUUUGUCACGCCUGGUGUGAAAGUCCAUCGCUUAACGGUGGAUCUGCGCCGGGUACGGGCAGGCUAGAGUGCAGUAGGGGAGAUUGGAAUUCCCGGUGUAACGGUGGAAUGUGUAGAUAUCGGGAAGAACACCAAUGGCGAAGGCAGAUCUCUGGGCUGUUACUGACGCUGAGGAGCGAAAGCAUGGGGAGCGAACAGGAUUAGAUACCCGUGGUAGUCCAUGCCGUAAAACGGUGGAUGCUGGAU
rnacentral:rRNA from 1 species